ACGAAGCUGAUCCCUACCAUGUCCAAAC
rnacentral:sRNA from 1 species